rnacentral:rRNA from 1 species
CCAAUAGCGUAUAUUAAAGUUGUUGCAGUUAAAAAGCUCGUAGUUGAAUUUCGGGACCAAUAUGUUGGUCGUGCUUCGGUACGUACUUGCAUUAUUGGUUUCUCCCUUCUGAAGAACCAUGAUGUCAUUAAUUUGGUGUCUUGGGGAAUCAGGACUGUUACUUUGAAAAAAUUAGAGUGUUUAAAGCAGGCUCACGCUUGAAUACAUUAGCAUGGAAUAAUGAAAUAGGACGUUUGAUUCUAUUUUGUUGGUUUCUAGGAUCGACGUAAUGAUUAAUAUGGAUAGUUGGGGGCAUUAGUAUUCAAUUGUCAGAGGUGAAAUUCUUGGAUUUAUUGAAGACUAACUACUGCGAAAGCAUUUGCCAAGGAUGUUUUCAUUAAUCAAGAACGAAAGUUAGGGGAUCGAAGACGAUCAGAUACCGUCGUAGUCUUAACCAUAAACUAUGCCGACUAGGGAUCGGAUGAUGUUAUUUUUGAUGACUCAUUCGGCGCCUUACG